UACGGAGGGUGCAAGCGUUAAUCGGAAUUACUGGGCGUAAAGGGUGUGUAGGUGGUUUAUUAAGUUAUCUGUGAAAUCCCUGGGCUUAACCUGGGACUGUCAGAUAAGACUGUUAAACUUGAGUAUAGGAGAGGGUAGUGGAAUUUCCGGUGUAGCGGUGAAAUGCGUAGAGAUCGGAAGGAACACCAGUGGCGAAGGCGGCUACCUGGCCUAAUACUGACACUGAGACACGAAAGCGUGGGGAGCAAACAGG
rnacentral:rRNA from 1 species